ACCUACGGCCAUACCACCUUGAACAAGCCCGAUCCCAUCUGAUCUUGGAAGCUAAGCAGGGUCGGGCCUGGUUAGUACUUGGAUGGAAGACCACCUAGGAAAACCAGAUGCUGUAGGCA
rnacentral:rRNA from 1 species